UACGGGGGGAGCAAGCGUUGUUCGGAUUUACUGGGCGUAAAGGGCGCGUAGGCGGUCAGCACAAGUCAGUUGUGAAAUCUCCGGGCUUAACUCGGAAAGGUCAACUGAUACUGUGCGACUAGAGUGCAGAAGGGGCAACUGGAAUUCUCGGUGUAGCGGUGAAAUGCGUAGAGAUCAUGAGGAAGACCAGUGGCGAAGGCGGGUCUCUGGACAGUUCCUGACACUGAGGCACGAAAGCUAGGGGAGCAAACAGG
rnacentral:rRNA from 1 species